rnacentral:rRNA from 1 species
ACUCAAAUGAAUUGACGGGGGCCCGCACAAGCGGUGGAGCAUGUGGUUUAAUUCGAUGCAACGCGAAGAACCUUACCUGGUCUUGACAUCCACGGAAGAAUUCAGAGAUGGAUUUGUGCCUUCGGGAACCGUGAGACAGGUGCUGCAUGGCUGUCGUCAGCUCGUGUUGUGAAAUGUUGGGUUAAGUCCCGCAACGAGCGCAACCCUUAUCCUUUGUUGCCAG